rnacentral:rRNA from 1 species
UGAAGGCUGAAAUUCGCCUUCAUGAAGCUGGAAUUGCUAGUAAUGGCAGGUCAGCAUACUGCCGUGAAUACGUUCCCGGGCCUUGUACACACCGCCCGUCACACCAUGAGAGUUGGAAAUACCCGAAGCCUGUGAGCUAACUGUAAAGAGGCAGCAGUCGAAGGUAGAGCCAAUGAUUGGGGUGAAGUCGUAACAAGGUAUC